rnacentral:misc_RNA from 1 species
AUCGCGAGGUCGAGGUCGCCGUCGUUGUCAAAAUCGGCAUACGCAGCACCACGGCCUACGACGGGCCUUUGCAGAGCGCGGCCUAGCUUUGUGGAAACGUCUUCGAACUUCUUGCCUC